rnacentral:rRNA from 1 species
GGAUUGACACAUCGGUCGUGCCUUAAGGGGUAUGAACUGGUGUAGUCAAUUUCUCACCUUCUGGAGAACCGCGAUGCCCUUAAUUGGGUGUCACGGGGAACCAGGACCUUUACUUUGAAAAAAUUAGAGUGUUUAAAGCAGGCAUUUUGCUUGAAUACAUUAGCAUGGAAUAAUAAGAUACGACCUUGGUGGUCUAUUUUGUUGGUUUGCACACCAGGGUAAUGAUUAAUAGGGAUAGUUGGG